AGCGGAGGAAAAGAAACCAACAGGGAUUGCCCUAGUAACGGCGAGUGAAGCGGCAACAGCUCAAAUUUGAAAUCUGGCCCUCGGGUCCGAGUUGUAAUUUGUAGAGGAUGCUUUUGGUGCGGUACCUUCCGAGUUCCCUGGAACGGGACGCCAUAGAGGGUGAGAGCCCCGUCUGGUUGGAUACCAAUCCUCUGUAAAGCUCCUUCGACGAGUCGAGUAGUUUGGGAAUGCUGCUCUAAAUGGGAGGUAUAUGUCUUCUAAAGCUAAAUACCGGCCAGAGACCGAUAGCGCACAAGUAGAGUGAUCGAAAGAUGAAAAGCACUUUGAAAAGAGGGUUAAACAGUACGUGAAAUUGUUGAAAGGGAAGCGCUUGUGACCAGACUUGGGCUUGUUAAUCAUCCGGCGUUCUCGCCGGUGCACUUGGCUAGCCCAGGCCAGCAUCAGUUCGGCGCGGGGGAUAAAGGCUUCGGGAAUGUGGCUCCUCCGGGAGUGUUAUAGCCCGUUGUGUAAUACCCUGAGCUGGACUGAGGUUCGCGCAUCUGCAAGGAUGCUGGCGUAAUGGUCAUCAGCGACCCGUCUUG
rnacentral:rRNA from 1 species